CCUACGGGAGGCAGCAGUGGGGAAUAUUGCACAAUGGGGGAAACCCUGCUGCAGCGACGCCGCGUGAAGGAUGAAGUCUUUCGGUAUGUAAACUUCUAUCAGCAGGGAAGAAAAUGACGGUACCUGCCUAAGACGCCCCGGCUAACUCCGUGCCAGCAGCCGCGGUAAUACGUAGGGGGCAAGCGUUAUCCGGAUUUACUGGGUGUAACGGGAGCGUAGACGGUAGGGCCAGUCUGAUGUGAAAACCCGGGGCUCAACCCCGGGACUGCAUUGGAAACUGCCGAACUAGAGUGUCGGAGAGGCAAGUGGAAUUCCUAGUGUAGCGGUGAAAUGCGUAGAUAUUAGGAGGAACACCAGUGGCGAAGGCGGCUUGCUGGACGAUGACUGACGUUGAGGCUCGAAAGCGUGGGGAGCAAACAGGAUUAGAUACCCUAGUAGUC
rnacentral:rRNA from 1 species